ensembl:snRNA U6 U6 spliceosomal RNA
GUAGCUAGCUCCAGCUGCACAUACACUAAAACGGAAUGACACAGAGAGCAUUAGCACGGCCCCUGAGCAAGAGUGACACACAAAUUCAUGAAGUGUUCCAUAUUUUA